rnacentral:rRNA from 1 species
AGCAACGGGAAAGAACCAUAACCAAUUCUUGGCUUCCUUUGACAAUUUUGGAGAUAGAGCCUUCCCCUUUGGGGGGACAAAGUGACAGGUGGUGCAUGGUUGUCGUCAGCUCGUGUCGUGAGAUGUUGGGUUAAGUCCCGCAACGAGCGCAACCCUAAAACUUAGUUGCCAGCAUUUAGUUGGGCACUCUAAGUUGACUGCCGGUGACAAACCGGAGGAAGGUGGGGAUGACGUCAAAUCAUCAUGCCCCUUAUGAUUUGGGCUACACACGUGCUACAAUGGACAAUACAAAGGGCAGCUAAACCGCGAGGUCAUGCAAAUCCCAUAAAGUUGUUCUCAGUUCGGAUUGUAGUCUGCAACUCGACUACAUGAAGCUGGAAUCGCUAGUAAUCGUAGAUCAGCAUGCUACGGUGAAUACGUUCCCGGGUCUUGUACACACCGCCCGU